AUUGCCCUCGAAUAAUUGAUUGCAGAUUCACAUUCUCAUUCGGUUCAGACAGGGGCAUAUAACAAUUUUGAGUCCUUCCAUUUUUUUAUGAAAGGGAUCCUGACUUCCAUCGGUCCUCUCUUAGAUGGAUUCAUAUAGUA